rnacentral:rRNA from 1 species
UACGUAGGGGUGCAAGCGUUAAUCGGAAUUACUGGGCGUAAAGCGUGCGCAGGCGGUUUUGUAAGUCAGAUGUGAAAUCCCCGGGCUUAACCCUGGGGAACUGCGUUUGAAACUACGAAGGCUAGAGUGUGGCAGAGGGGGGGUAGAAUUCCACGUGUAGCAGUGAAAUGCGUAGAGAUGUGGAGGAACACCGGAUGGCGAAGGCAGCCCCCUGGGUCAAGAUUGACGCUCGAUGACACGAAAGCGUGGGGAGCAAACAGG